GACGAACGCUGGCGGCGUGCUUAACACAUGCAAGUCGAACGGUAAGGCCCUUCGGGGUACACGAGUGGCGAACGGGUGAGUAACACGUGGGUGAUCUGCCCUGCACUUCGGGAUAAGCCUGGGAAACUGGGUCUAAUACCGGAUAGGACUCCGGACUGCAUGGUCUGGGGUGGAAAGCUUUUGCGGUGUGGGAUGGGCCCGCGGCCUAUCAGCUUGUUGGUGGGGUGAUGGCCUACCAAGGCGACGACGGGUAGCCGGCCUGAGGGGGUGACCGGCCACACUGGGACUGAGAUACGGCCCAGACUCCUACGGGGGGCAGCAGUGGGGAAUAUUGCACAAUGGGCGCAAGCCUGAUGCAGCGACGCCGCGUGAGGGAUGACGGCCUUCGGGUUGUAAACCUCUUUCAGCACAGACGAAGCGCAAGUGACGGUAUGUGCAGAAGAAGGACCGGCCAACUACGUGCCAGCAGCCGCCGUAA
rnacentral:rRNA from 1 species